UACAUGAGUGACUUGCGUUAUCCGUAUUUAUUGGGCGUAAAGGAUGUGUAGAUUGUACGAGUAGUUAUUUUUUAAUAUAACAGUUAAUUGGGUUAAAAAAUAAUACCUUUUUACUAGGUUUUGUAUUAAGUUUGUAUUAUCUGCAAACUAGUGAUAAAAUACAGUGAGUUCGUGGGUAUAUUCAGUAAUGGAGAUUACUUGCUAAUACAAAAUGACAUUGAAACAUUAAAGUUUGGUUAUCGAAUAGG
rnacentral:rRNA from 1 species